rnacentral:rRNA from 1 species
GACGAACGCUGGCGGCGUGCCUAAUACAUGCAAGUCGAACGCAGUGGGGACGGGUGAGUAACACGUGGGUAACCUCCCAUCAGAGGGGAUAACACUUGGAAACAGGUGCUAAACCGAUACUUCUUGAUUGACCCGCGGGGCAUUAGCUAGUUGGUGAGGUAACGGCUCACCAAGGACACGAGGCAUAGCCGACUGGAGAGGGUGAUGGGCUACACUGGGACUGAGACACGGCCCAGAUUCCGACUGGAGGCAGCAGGAGGGAAGCUUAGGCAAUGGACGAAAGUCUGACCGAGCAACGCAGAGUGAGUGAAGAAGGUUUUCGGAUCGUAAAACUCUGUUGUUAGAGAAGAGGGAAAGAAAGAGAAAGCCACGGCUAACUACGUGCCAGCAGCCGCGGUAAUUG